GCCUGCAGCCAUGUCACCCUGCAACUUACAAUUGGCAACCCACUGAAGCUAAGCAUGUGUGAGCCUGGUCAGUACCUGGAUGGGAGACCUCCUGGGAAAAACAAGUUGCUGCUGGAA
rnacentral:rRNA from 1 species